rnacentral:rRNA from 1 species
CCCUUCCGCACUCUAGCCUUGCAGUAUCAGCUGCUGUUCUUCCGUUAAGCAGAAGGCUUUCACAACUGACUUACAAGGCCGCCUACGUGCUCUUUACGCCCAAUAAUUCCGAACAACGCUUGCCGCCUCUGUAUUACCGCGGCUGCUGGCACAGAGUUAGCCGUGGCUUCCUCCGGAGCCUUAGUCAAGUAAGGAUACUAUUAACACCCUUA